CCUACGGGAGGCAGCAGUAGGGAAUCUUCCGCAAUGGACGAAAGUCUGACGGAGCAACGCCGCGUGAGUGAUGAAGGCUUUCGGGUCGUAAAACUCUGUUGUUAGGGAAGAACAAGUGCUAGUUGAAUAAGCUGGCACCUUGACGGUACCUAACCAGAAAGCCGCGGCUAACUACGUGCCAGCAGCCGCGGUAAU
rnacentral:rRNA from 1 species